CUGAAAGGUAGAGGACUUACUCUUCGGAGUGAGAGCGUACACAGGUGCUGCAUGGCUGUCGUCAGCUCGUGUCGUGAGAUGUUGGGUUAAGUCCCGCAACGAGCGCAACCCUGCAUUCAGUUGCCAUCGGUAAGGCCGGGCACUCUGGAUGGACUGCCGGCGACAAGCCGGAGGAAGGUGGGGACGACGUCAAGUCAUCAUGGCCCUUAUGUCCAGGGCGACACACGUGCUACAAUGGCCGGCACAACGGGAAGCGAAGGGGCGACCCUGAGCGGAUCCCACAAAAGCCGGUCCCAGUUCGGAUUGCAGUCUGCAACUCGACUGCAUGAAGUUGGAAUCGCUAGUAAUCGUGGAUCAGCCAAGCCGCGGUGAAUACGUUCCCGGGCCUU
rnacentral:rRNA from 1 species